rnacentral:rRNA from 1 species
CUACGGGCGGCACCAGUGGGGAAUUUUGCGCAAUGGGGGAAACCCUAACGCAGCAAUACCGCGUGAGUGAAGAAGGCCUUUGGGUCGUAAAGCUCUUUUCUUGGGGAAGAUAGUGACGGUACCCAAGGAAUAAGCACCGGCUAACUCCGUGCCAGCAGCCGCGGUAAUACGGAGGGUGCAAGCGUUGUUCGGAUUUACUGGGCGUAAAGGGCACGUAGGCGGCACAGCAAGUUAAGGGUGAAAUCCCGGGGCUCAACUCCGGAACUGCUCUUAAAACUGCUGAGCUAGAGAUAGUCAGAGGCGGGUGGAAUUCCAGGUGUAGAGGUGAAAUUCGUAGAUAUCUGGAGGAACACCGGUGGCGAAGGCGGCCCGCUGGGGCUAUUCUGACGCUAAGGUGCGAAAGCGUGGGGAGCAAACGGGAUUAGAUACCCUGGUAGUC